rnacentral:rRNA from 1 species
UGGGGAAUAUUGGACAAUGGGCGAAAGCCUGAUCCAGCCAUGCCGCGUGUGUGAAGAAGGUCUUCGGAUUGUAAAGCACUUUAAGUUGGGAGGAAGGGCAGUAAGUUAAUACCUUGCUGUUUUGACGUUACCGACAGAAUAAGCACCGGCUAACUCUGUGCCAGCAGCCGCGGUAAUACAGAGGGUGCAAGCGUUAAUCGGAAUUACUGGGCGUAAAGCGCGCGUAGGUGGUUUGUUAAGUUGGAUGUGAAAGCCCCGGGCUCAACCUGGGAACUGCAUCCAAAACUGGCAAGCUAGAGUACGGUAGAGGGUGGUGGAAUUUCCUGUGUAGCGGUGAAAUGCGUAGAUAUAGGAAGGAACACCAGUGGCGAAGGCGACCACCUGGACUGAUACUGACACUGAGGUGCGAAAGCGUGGGGAGCAAACAGGAUUAGAUACCCCAGUAGUCCCUGAGCGGGCUGGCAAGGCGCAU